AAUAGACCAUUCCCGUCUGACCUAACCCAAUUUUUUGAUAUUUUUUUUCGAAAGACAAUCGGUUUUCAUGAUCAUUGCCGCUUUUGAAAAUUUUUUAUAUGUAUUCCUGAUUUUCGUACAAUUUUAUGAAAAUUCGAAAAAUCUCUCCAAUUUGAAAUUAAAAUCACCGUGCGAAGUAGUGUGUCAGCUGGCCCUGGUGUGGAGAAUAUGAUUUCAAUCGUGCUUCCUAAUUCCUACCCUGUCGUCGUUCUGGCAUGUUUACAUUUCGAUCUGUCAAACCCGCAUCGCCUCACCUCCGCCGGCUGAUUGGAAAGAAGCGAAAGAAUAUCGUCCACUAUUUCGAUUUUGUCGGAACCGUGGCCACGGGACCGACGGGAACAGAACGACGCUCGUGCUCGGUUCGGAAUGAGCGAGUUGAAUCAUUAAUAUGAAAGCGAUUAAAACAAGCAACACCAGGAGCGUAACCCAGUGCGAUGCUGCUAGACUUGGACAAGCUGAAGCUGGGGGGUUGCAUUGUUUUCCGGAGGUUACAAUCGGGAUCAGAACUGUUUUGGAGGUAAUAGGAUGUUCCAGAAGCCUUUGAAAACCGAUAUAGGGGUCCUCCAUCCAAUGGAAUGUGACCGAAUCGGUUCAGCAAUCCAGAACGGAACAAAUACGGAGGACCUGGUGGAUACCGAAGUGAAAACAGUUGGAACAAGAGCACAGGCGGCUACCAGGCGAAUCUUUCGCAUUAGCCACAGAACUCCACAGCAGCAGUUGUACGAAUCUCACCAGCAGAUGCGAUUUCAUUCGAAGACCAUGUACCAGAAUCCAAACCAGUACAUACGAAGAUUUGGAACGGCUAAUCCGUACCCAGCACAAUUGACAGCUGCAGCUGCUGGUGGUGAAUAAACCAUUCCGAAGGCUGGAUUCACCCGAUACGAUCCGCUGGCCGGCGUACAGGGAGCACAUUAAUUCCGUCGUAUAAAAUUCCAGCAAUACAACAAAUUGCUAAGCAUUAGAAUUUAAUAUGUACCACCUGUGAACGCAUAAAAUAUAUUACUUGCUUUCGUGAUUAAAUGAAAUUUAAUAACUUCCUGA